UGGGGAAUUUUUGGACAAUGGGCGCAAAGCCUGAUCCAGCCAUGCCGCGUGUCUGAAGAAGGCCUUCGGGUUGUAAAGGACUUUUGUCAGGGAAGAAAAGGAUAGGGUUAAUACCCCUGUCUGAUGACGGUACCUGAAGAAUAAGCACCGGCUAACUACGUGCCAGCAGCCGCGGUAAUACGUAGGGUGCGAGCGUUAAUCGGAAUUACUGGGCGUAAAGCGGGCGCAGACGGUUACUUUAAGCAGGAUGUGAAAUCCCCGGGCUCAACCUGGGAACUGCGUUCUGAACUGGGUGACUAGAGUGUGUCAGAGGGAGGUAGAAUUCCACGUGUAGCAGUGAAAUGCGUAGAGAUGUGGAGGAAUACCGAUGGCGAAGGCAGCCUCCUGGGAUAACACUGACGUUCAUGCCCGAAAGCGUGGGUAGCAAACAGGAUUAGAUACCCUGGUAGUCCACGCCCUAAACGAUGUCGAUUAGCUGUUGGGCAGCUUGACUGCUUAGUAGCGAAGCUAACGCGUGAAAUCGACCGCCUGGGGAGUAACGAUCGCAAGAUUAA
rnacentral:rRNA from 1 species